CACCAGCCCCUCGAGUGGUGGGGAUGAUUAUUGGCCUAAAGCGUCCGUAGCCGGCCGGGUAAGUUUCCCGUUAAAUCCAAUGUCUCAAGCAUUGGACUGCGGGAAAUACUGCCUGGCUAGAGAGUGGGAGAGGUGUACGGUAUUCUGGGGGUAGGGGCGAAAUCCUUUGAUCCCCGGAGGACCACCAGUGGCGAAGGCUGUACACUAGAACACGUCUGACGGUCAGGGACGAAAGCUGGGGUAGCGAACCGGAUUAGAUACCCGGGUAGUCCCAGCUGUAAACGAUGCAUGCUAGGUGUUGGGUUGGCCACGAGCCACCCCAGUGCCGCAGGGAAGCCGUUAAGCAUGCCGCCUGGGAAGUACGAUCGCAAGAUUGAAACUUAAAGGAAUUGGCGGGGGAGCACCACCAGGCGUGAAGCCUGCGGUUU
rnacentral:rRNA from 1 species